CAGUAGCCGCGGGAAUACGUAGGGUGCGAGCGUUAAUCGGAAUUACUGGGCGUAAAGCGUGCGCAGGCGGUUAUAUAAGACAGAUGUGAAAUCCCCGGGCUCAACCUGGGACCUGCAUUUGUGACUGUAUAGCUAGAGUAUGGCAGAGGGGGGUAGAAUUCCACGCGUAGCAGUGAAAUGCGUAGAGAUGUUGAGGAAUACCGAUGGCGAAGGCAGCCCCCUGGGCCAAUACUGACGCUCAUGCACGAAAGCGUGGGGAGCAAACAGGAUUAGAUACCCCGGUAGUCCCUGUCUCUUAUAC
rnacentral:rRNA from 1 species